rnacentral:rRNA from 1 species
UACGUAGGGUGCGAGCGUUAAUCGGAAUUACUGGGCGUAAAGCGUGCGCAGGCGGUUCGUUGUGUCGGCGGGGAAAGCCCCGGGCUUAACCUGGGAACGGCCGUUGAAACUGGCGAACUGGAGUGCGGCAGAGGGGGGUGGAAUUCCGCGUGUAGCAGUGAAAUGCGUAGAGAUGCGGAGGAACACCGAUGGCGAAGGCAGCCCCCUGGGCUAACACUGACGCUCAGGCACGAAAGCGUGGGGAGCAAACAGG